rnacentral:rRNA from 1 species
AACGAACGCUGGCGGCGUGCCUAACACAUGCAAGUCGAGCGAAGUGAGUACUACGGUACGAACUUAGCGGCGGACGGGUGAGUAACGCGUGGACAAUCUACCCUGUAGACUGGGAUAACACCUCGAAAGGGGUGCUAAUACCGGAUAAUGUCGAGAAGCGGCAUCGCUUUUCGAAGAAAGGAGAGAAUACGCUAUAGGAGGAGUCCGCGUCCCAUUAGCUAGUUGGUGAGGGUAACGGCCCACCAAGGCGACGAUGGGUAGCCGGCCGGAGAGGGUGAACGGCCACACUGGAACUGAGACGCGGUCAAGACUCCUACGGGAGGCAGCAGUGGGGAAUAUUGUGCAAUGGGGGAAACCCUGACACAGCAACGCCGCGUGAGCGAAGAAGGCCUUCGGGUUGUAAAGCUCAAUAGUAUGGGAAGAUAAUGACGGUACCAUACGAAAGCCCCGGCUAACUACGUGCCAGCCGCCGCAGUAAAAC